GCGGAAUCCAGAAUAUCUUUGAGCAUUCCAGACACAGUGGGGCAUUUGAGCCGGUGUUUCUCUGCAUCAAGGCGAUCAGCGUAUCGGAAUAUCCGGUUGUUAUGGCCGGACGCAUCACAGCGUUUCUUCUCAUGUGUGCCAUGUUCGCCUACGGUAUUAUGGCCAUUCCAACUAAUCAAGAUGCUACAGCACGAGGAAAUUCAAUCCCUACAAGUGCUGCCAAUGAGGAUGCAAGAAUCGGAAAACCUGCGAUCGAAAGCUUCGUUGACGGAGGACUCGGCUGAAACUCACGUGAUUUGCUACACCGAGAGCAGCGCUAUAAAACCGGUUUUUGUCGCGUGCUCGCUGCUUUCUUUAGCGAGUGAAAUGAAAUAAAAUUUACCAGCAUCAGGUUA